rnacentral:lncRNA from 1 species
AUUAGUUAGUUAAUAAUACUAUCAUAUGAUCUACUUUUUACUAAUGUAAUGAUAUAACACCAUAAAAUGGCUAUUUACAGUAGAAAAUUUUAAGUAAUUUGACAUAUCUCUAUACUGUAUUUGCCAUUCACUGAUUGCAGAUAUAUUACUGGAUCUCAUCCGAUGGCUCAUCUGGUGCUAAUAUCGCACGUGCCGGUCCUUUCUCCAUUAACUCUUUCACAUAUUGCGGUAUCUGGAUGUCUCCCACUAUCGUCAAUGCAUCUUCUAAUCUCGUGUUUGUUGGUCUCUCAUGUAUGUUCUGGUUCCGCAGUAACCAGACUAGGACAAUAUUAUCCCUUGCAAUAUUUUCUUUGUUUGAAUUCUCAAAUGUUAGCAUUAUAGUACACUUUAGAAAAGUUAGGUAGUUUCAAUAAAAAUUUUCCUAAUAUA